rnacentral:rRNA from 1 species
CGGGGUGAGUAAUGUCUGGGAAACUGCCUGAUGGAGGGGGAUAACUACUGGAAACGGUAGCUAAUACCGCAUAACGUCGCAAGACCAAAGAGGAGGACCUUCGGGCCUCUUGCCAUCGGAUGUGCCCAGAUGGGAUUAGCUAGUAGGUGGGGUAACGGCUCACCUAGGCGACGAUCCCUAGCUGGUCUGAGAGGAUGACCAGCCACACUGGAACUGAGACACGGUCCAG